AAGGUUGUAGAUUCUGGCUGAUGAUGUCACUGACACAAAGAAAAAAAUGCAGAACAGUUAGUCUUAAAUAAGCUUUCUGGUGAGACCAACUGCAUUUUGGCCAUGGCUUUGCAGAGCACUCUGGGGGCAGUGUGGCUGGGGCUUCUCCUCAACUCCCUCUGGAAGGUUGCAGAAAGCAAGGAACAAGUGUUUCAGCCUUCCACAGUGGCAUCUUCGGAGGGAGCUGUGGUGGAAAUCUUCUGUAAUCACUCUGUGUCCAAUGCUUACAACUUCUUCUGGUACCUUCACUUCCCGGGAUGUGCACCAAGACUCCUUGUUAAAGGUUCAAAGCCUUCUCAGCAGGGACGAUACAACAUGACCUAUGAACGGUUCUCUUCAUCGCUGCUCAUCCUCCAGGUGCGGGAGGCAGAUGCUGCUGUUUACUACUGUGCUGUGGAGGACACAGAGGCAGGGAACCUAUGAAGAG